rnacentral:rRNA from 1 species
GUGUUAGUGGAAGCGUCUGGAAAGGCGCGCGAUACAGGGUGACAGCCCCGUACACAAAAAUGCACAUAUUGUGAGCUCGAUGAGUAGGGCGGGACACGUGGUAUCCUGUCUGAAUAUGGGGGGACCAUCCUCCAAGGCUAAAUACUCCUGACUGACCGAUAGUGAACCAGUACCGUGAGGGAAAGGCGAAAAGAACCCCGGCGAGGGGAGUGAAAAAGAACCUGAAACCGUGUACGUACAAGCAGUGGGAGCACGCUUAGGCGUGUGACUGCGUACCUUUUGUAUAAUGGGUCAGCGACUUAUAUUCUGUAGCAAGGUUAACCGAAUAGGGGAGCCGAAGGGAAACCGAGUCUUAACUGGGCGUUAAGUUGCAGGGUAUAGACCCGAAACCCGGUGAUCUAGCCAUGGGCAGGUUGAAGGUUGGGUAACACUAACUGGAGGACCGAACCGACUAAUGUUGAAAAAUUAGCGGAUGACUUGUGGCUGGGGGUGAAAGGCCAAUCAAACCGGGAGAUAGCUGGUUCUCCCCGAAAGCUAUUUAGGUAGCGCCUCGUGAAUUCAUCUCCGGGGGUAGAGCACUGUUUCGGCAAGGGGGUCAUCCCGACUUACCAACCCGAUGCAAACUGCGAAUACCGGAGAAUGUUAUCACGGGAGACACACGGCGGGUGCUAACGUCCGUCGUGAAGAGGGAAACAACCCAGACCGCCAGCUAAGGUCCCAAAGUCAUGGUUAAGUGGGAAACGAUGUGGGAAGGCCCAGACAGCCAGGAUGUUGGCUUAGAAGCAGCCAUCAUUUAAAGAAAGCGUAAUAGCUCACUGGUCGAGUCGGCCUGCGCGGAAGAUGUAACGGGGCUAAACCAUG